rnacentral:rRNA from 1 species
AGAGUUUGAUCAUGGCUCAGGAUGAACGCUAGCGGCAGGCUUAAUACAUGCAAGUCGAGGGGCAGCGGGGGUAGCAAUACCUGCCGGCGACCGGCAAACGGGUGCGGAACACGUACACAACCUUCCUUUUAGUGGGGGAUAGCCCAGAGAAAUUUGGAUUAAUACCCCGUAAUAUAAAUGAGUGGCAUCACUUAUUUAUUAAAGCUCCGGCGCUAGAAGAUGGGUGUGCGUCUGAUUAGGUAGUUGGUGUGGGUAACGGCCCACCAAGCCUACGAUCAGUAACUGGUGUGAGAGCACGACCAGUCACACGGGCACUGAGACACGGGCCCGACUCCUACGGGAGGCAGCAGUAAGGAAUAUUGGUCAAUGGACGCAAGUCUGAAACCAGCCAUGCCGCGUGGAGGAUGAAGGUCCUCUGGAUUGUAAACUUCUUUUAUCUGGGAAGAAAUGCAUUUUUUCUAAAGUGUUUGACGGUACCAGAUGAAUAAGCACCGGCUAACUCCGUGCCAGCAGCCGCGGUAAUACGGAGGGUGCAAGCGUUAUCCGGAUUCACUGGGUUUAAAGGGUGCGUAGGUGGGCAGUUAAGUCAGUGGUGAAAUCUCCGGGCUCAACCCGGAAACUGCCAUUGAUACUAUCUGUCUUGAAUAUCGUGGAGGUAAGCGGAAUAUCAUGUAGCGGUGAAAUGCUUAGAUAUGACAUAGAACACCAAUUGCGAAGGCAGCUUACUACCCGAAUAUUGACACUGAGGCACGAAAGCGUGGGGAUCAAACAGGAUUAGAUACCCUAGUAGUCC